GUUGUUGGUUGUUUGUAUAGAUGAGCUCAACAAGGCACCGAAGGGCAGGCUAGAAUAUACGAGAAGCGGCAAGCAUGCCUUUUUUGUGGCAGUAUGGUUUCCAAGGCAGCCAGGCACAUGAAAGAUAUGCACGCUGAUGAGUCUGAGGUGAAACAUGCCAAGGCCAAGGAGCCCAAGUCAACUAACAGGCGACCUACUGUUGAAUUUGAGAGGCUCCGUUUGAAAGGGAAUUUCUACCAUAAAUAUGGAGGUGCUGUCAUCUGGUGUGGGUCAGAUCAUCGUUGCCAGAAAUCCUCCCUUCGGUCAAGAGGUCCAAUCUUCAGAUAACCUGCCAUGCCCAUUUUGCAUGUUCUGUCGGCAAUGGUCCAUCAUCAGAUAUCCAUGGUGACUCGACCUGGUACAGAUAAGGGGAAAGAGAGGUCGCGCAGUGCCUGUGCUUCUGACCAGUGGAAGUCUUGAUGGAAAACCGUGAAGCAGUUGGGGCGCAUAAUUCGAAUCCCUAUAUAUUUGCUCGCACCCGAAACUCCUUGAAACAAGUGAGAGGAUGGGAUUGCCUAACUGCUGUUGCCAAGCAGGCUAAUCUGCAAGAGCCUCCUGCAGAAACGAGCACAAAGCUGAGAAAGUAUGUUGCAACGGUGUCUCAGAUUAUUAGACCUAAACAGCAAUGCGCUCGACUGGCUAGCAAGGCACCUGUGCCACGACAUAACUGUCCACAGGGACUUCUACCGCCAACACGAGUCGACACUAGAGCUUGCGAAAGUCAGCAAGCUACUUCUUGCUGUAGACAAAGGCAAGAUAGCAAAACUGUCUGGCCGAAAACUUGAUGAUAUUGAUUUGGAAGGUGUUUUGGCUGAUGAAUCAUCAAGUGAAGAGGAGGAUGCAGAUGUUUGCAAAGACCCGUCAUCAGGUGGCAGGAAGCUGGGCACUCAGCAGAUCCUUGUGCUUAUUCAAAUAGCCCCUUCAUGAAUGUGACGUUACCGCAAGACAGGUGCAGUGCGCAAAUUCCUUGCGCGCUUUGUCACGUAACUCUUUGUGACGCCAUUUCUUAUAAACGCCAAGUUGCCUAUUCAACUUCAUUCUCGGUUGAGCAACCUUAUCUCGCUGACAUACGCAUUUUGUUCUCCGUGCAAUAUGAAUCCUAACCUGAUAAUGCAAAUCAAGAGAUACUAUCGGCCAUCAGAUCGUUGGCUAACUCGAUAGACAGUAAAGUAGAUUCAGCCUUUAAGAGGCAGCGUACCCUUGCCGACAGUCCACCAGACUUUAAAAGCGACGGUAACAAGGACCAGUUUCGCCACGAAGAAAAGCUCUCCAGCCUAAUUGACUCGGCCUUAGCAUCGUUAGACGCCGGAGACGUCAACGCAGCCAGAGAGGCCCUCAAGCAAGCCAGCACAGAAAUCAAACAGCGGCAGAAGCUGAUCAGGUUGGCCGAUCGUUCUUCCCAAGGUUGGGCCACGGUUAAAGAAUACGUCACCGACAAUUAAGCCGACGACUCGGACGAUGAGAAACGACUUAGAAAGGCGGAGAAAAUGGCGACCAGCAAGAAAUCAGAAGCCGCUAAGAAGUCCAAGGCCAAGGCUCGCAAUCCUGUACGUCCUUACCCUGCUGCGAGUUCUUUUCGUACCUACAGCCGGUACACAUAUCGUCAAGAUUUCCGGUCCUGUUUCCAGUGCGGAAUCGCAGGACAUAUCCGAUCCAACUGCCCCUCUCUUCGGGCCCUCCAACAGCCUCAGCGCCGGUCACAACCUUCAGCCACUGAUACCACCACAGCAUAGGGACUGGGAAGAGCAGGUCUCAACUACUCCUGUCCCAUCCGGUGUAAAGGGUGUUUUGGCUGAUGAAUCAUCAAGUGAAGAGGAGGAUGCAGAUAUUGCAAAGACCCGUCAUCAGGUGGCAGGAAGCUGGGCGCCCAGCAGUGCGUCUGAAAAUACGUAAGCCAUGGACAGGAGAAGAGAAACAGGCGAUCUACCAGCACCUCGGGGGACACAUACGGAAAAAUCAACUGCCAGAUGAGCUCAACAAGGCACCGAAGGGCAGGCUAGAAUAUACGAGAAGCGGCAAGCAUGCCUUUUUUGUGGCAGUAUGGUUUCCAAGGCAGCCAGGCACAUGAAAGAUAUGCACGCUGAUGAGUCUGAGGUAAAACAUGCCAAGGCCAAGGAGCCCAAGUCAACUAACAGGCGACCUACUGUUGAAUUUGAGAGGCUCCGUUUGAAAGGGAAUUUCUACCAUAAUAUGGAGGUGCUGUCAACUGGUGUGGGUCAGAUCAUCGUUGCCAGAAAUCCUCCCUUCGGUCAAGAGGUCCAAUCUUCAGAUAACCUGCCAUGCCCAUUUUGCAUGUUCCGUCGGCAAUGGUCCAUCAUCAGAUAUCCAUGGUGACUCGACCUGGUACAGAUAAGGGGAAAGAGAGGUCGCGCAGUGCCUGUGCUUCUGACCAGUGGAAGUCUUGAUGGAAAACCGUGAAGCAGUUGGGGCGCAUAAUGCGAAUCCCUAUAUAUUUGCUCGCCCCCGAAACUCCUUGAAACAAGUGAGAGGAUGGGAUUGCCUAACUGCUGUUGCCAAGCAGGCUAAUCUGCAAGAGCCUCCUGCAGAAACGAGCACAAAGCUGAGAAAGUAUGUUGCAACGGUGUCUCAGAUUAUAGACCUAAACAGCAAUGCGCUCGACUGGCUAGCAAGGCACCUGUGCCACGACAUAACUGUCCACAGGGACUUCUACCGCCAACACGAGUCGACACUAGAGCUUGCGAAAGUCAGCAAGCUACUUCUUGCUGAAGACAAAGGCAAGAUAGCAAAACUGUCUGGCCGAAAACUUGAUGAUAUUGAUUUGGAAGGUGUUUUGGCUGAUGAAUCAUCAAGUGAAGAGGAGGAUGCAGAUGUUUGCAAAGACCCGUCAUCAGGUGGCAGGAAGCUGGGCACCCAGCAGAUCCUUGUGCUUAUUCAAAUAGCCCCUUCAUGAAUGUGACGUUACCGCAAGACAGGUGCAGUGCGCAAAUUCCUUGCGCGCUUUGUCACGUAACUCUUUGUGACGCCAUUUCUUAUAAACGCCAAGUUGCCUAUUCAACUUCAUUCUCGGUUGAGCAACCUUAUCUCGCUGACAUACGCAUUUUGUUCGUGCAAUAUGAAUCCUAACCUGAUAAUGCAAAUCAAGAGAUACCUAUCGGCCAUCAGAUCGUUGGCUAACUCGAUAGACAGUAAAGUAGAUUCAGCCUUUAAGAGGCAGCGUACCCUUGCUGGCAGUCCACCAGACUUUAAAAGCGACGGUAACAAGGACCAGUUUCGCCACGAAGAAAAGCUCUCCAGCCUAAUUGACUCGGCCUUAGCAUCGUUAGACGCCGGAGACGUCAACGCAGCCAGAGAGGCCCUCAAGCAAGCCAGCACAGAAAUCAAACAGCGGCAGAAGCUGAUCAGGUUGGCCGAUCGUUCUUCCCAAGGUUGGGCCACGGUUAAAGAAUACGUCACCGACAAUUAAGCCGACGACUCGGACGAUGAGAAACGACUCAGAAAGGCGGAGAAAAUGGCGACCAGCAAGAAAUCAGAAGCCGCUAAGAAGUCCAAGGCCAAGGCUCGCAAUCCUGUACGUCCUUACCCUGCUGCGAGUUCUUUUCGUACCUACAGCCGGUACACAUAUCGUCAAGAUUUCCGGUCCUGUUUCCAGUGCGGAAUCGCAGGACAUAUCCGAUCCAACUGCCCCUCUCUUCGGGCCCUCCGACAGCCUCAGCGCCGGUCACAACCUUCAGCCACUGAUACCACCACAGCAUAGGGACUGGGAAGAGCAGGACUCAACUACUCCUGUCCCAUCCGGUGUAAAGGAUGUUUGCAAAGACCCGUCAUCAGGUGGCAGGAAGUCGCGGCCCCAGCAGUGCGUCUGAAAAUACGUAAGCCAUGGACAGGAGAAGAGAAACAGGCGAUCUACCAGCACCUCGGGGGACACAUACGGAAAAAUCAACUGCCAGGUAAAGCAGUCUGCGAAAGUGUGAUAGCAGCACAUCCCCGAACAUCCCCGAGAUUUUUUUUUUAAUUUUUUUUUUUAUACACUUUCCAAUGGCCUCCUGUGAAUGUGAUAAAAUCUGAUGCCCCAGUAUGAGUUUUCUUUUACUUUGUGGAUCAUUCAUAAGAGAAGAAUGAGUAGUUACUGGUCUUUUUAAGUCUCCAGUUGGAGGUUUAGUGAUUUGUGACAAGAAACUUGAUAGGUUUAUGCUUUUUCGAUCAGUCUUAAGAGAGGAAUUUUUUAAGUAGUGCCUGAUCUCUCUUAGUCUGCAGAUGGAGAUUUAUGUAGGUGCGACAACUCCGAUACCCCCAGAACAUGAGUUUUCUUUUACUUUUGGAUCAUUCAUAAGAGAAGAACAAGUAGUAUGGUCUAUCUAAUUCUGUGAUUGGUUUAUUGGAAGUAGCUAACUGCCUUGUCCCUACAUUUAAGUCUAUAGUUGAAGUUUCAACUAAUAUCUGAUAGCCAGGAAUGUGAUAUCUUUUUUGGGACCUUUUGAUCACUCAUCAUAAGAGAAGAACCUGAGGAGUAGCUAAUGGCCUGCUGAGUCUGCUCUUGAAGGUUAUUAUUGAUUAAUGACAGAAAUCUUGAAUGCCCAGAACUUGAUUUGCUUUUUGACUGUUUGGAUCAAUCAUAAGAGAGUAGUGCUUCUUGUUCCCUCUAAUUCUUCGGUUUGAGAUUAAGUGAUGUGUGAUCUAUCUGAUUCCCCAGAACAUGAGUUUUCAUAAAAGAAAAAUAUUCCGCUUGGAAGUCUUUUGAUUUGUGACAUGUUUUGAUGGCCCAGAACUUGAAUUUGUCAUUUCUUUUAUAUCAUAAAUACGAGAAGAAACGUAUUGUUAGGUAACAGUUUUGUCUCUACAUGUAAGUUUAUUGUUCUAUAGUUGGCGUUCAACUGAUAGCUUAGAAAUCUGAUAGCCAGGGACAUGAUUGGUUUUGGACUUUUUGGAUCAAUCUUAGGAGAACCGUAUGAGUAGCUAAUAACCUGUUAAGUAUGUAGUUGGAGGUUUAGUGAAUUGUGAUACAAAUUUUAAUAACCCAGAGCUUGAUUUGCUUUGUGCCUGUUUCAACCAAUCAUAAGAGAGGAAUCUUAUGAGUAGUGCCUGGUGUUCUAAGACUGCAGUUGGAGAUUUAGUGAUGUGUGACAAAUAUCCUGAUACAUAAUAGCCAAGAACAUGAUUCACUUACACUUUAUCAAUCACAAGAGAAGAAUGAGUAGUUGUUGUCAUUUUCUCCAAGUAAUUUGGGUGAUAUGUGAAAGAUCUCAUUAUAGCCCAAAACUUGAUUUCUUUCUUUUUUGCAGUACUCGGACGUAUUUGAGUAGGGCUGUGAAAUUGUUUGAGAUAUUUGUUAAUAACUAUUGUUGCAGAUUUUUCUUUGAAUUGCUCAUAAACGAAAUAUCUUCAAUUUAACGCCUGGUUCAUUCGAUUUAGGUUGAAAUUGAAGAUCACGCAGAUCGGCAUUCGACAAUCAAAAUGAUUCAUUCUAUUUCACUAUACAAGCAUUCUAACGCAUUUUAGCUUCACUCGUCCCUAUCAAAGAUGCAUUCAUAUUAAAAGUAUCGAGUUGUUCAUUCAAUUCAAGAUGAUCGGGCAUUCGUUUUCAUUAAUGGGCAAAUAUAUUUCACAUUUUGUCAAACAUCUUUUAAGACUUCAUACGUGUCUGUAUUCCUAAGCUUAAAUCAUUUGAUGACUUCAAACCGUAGACUGACUUUCUUU
rnacentral:lncRNA from 1 species